GCUGAACCCGGUAAAGCAGAGCAAAUGAAAAGCAAUGAAUUGCAGUUGAGCGUUCAGCUACGGUUCAGUGGAGUGAGCUGGUGCAGGUCAGCCGAAUGGCUAGCGUCCAGGUGGGAUCAGUGUCGAGGCAAGCGAAGCGAGUGGCGCGCCGGUCCGGCGGUGAGGCCGUGAGGCAGGAAGGUGUGUAGUAACUAAAGCAGAAAUUAGGAAAAAUCGGGCGGUUAUGUAAUAAAAGUAACACAGACAAAACCAACAACAACAGCAGCGGUAAGCCAACGGCAGCGGUAAAUAGGGGAGGACGCAGCGGAAUGGAAGAAAGAGUCAUAGAGUAUUGCAUGGGCAAAAGGAUUGAUGAAGGGUCAUAAAGUGGCAACAGCAGCCGCAGCCGCAGCAGCAGCAACAGCAACAGCGACGGCGGCAACAGUCGGUAAUUAGGCUAAAACAACGAAAUCGCUGAAAAUAACAACACGAACGGGUCGCAGCGCUGGGAAACAAGUGAGUUCAUUGAUGGCGCAGCGUCAAGGCAACAGAUAACGUGAACGAGCUGGGAAAAUCUGAUCGAAAGCAAUGAAAUGAAAAUAUUUGUCGAAGGAAAUACCUUAAAAAAAAACGUCAAUAAAAUGGUAUAAAAAUCGAAACUACCAAAGCGGCAGAGUAAAAAUUUAGCUGAGAACAUGUAAACACGAAGGGUGGGUGAAGCUGGAAUUUAAUUUUAUGUGAGCGCGAGCAGCAGGCAGCAACACGAGCACACUUCAGUAUGCGGAUACUUGUGUGCACUUGAAGGGUCGUGGCAUUUCGGGCGCACAGCCUGCAGAUAAUUUGACGCUAAAAUAUCUUACUCACCGCCAGACACCUUUUUCCGAGGUCCUUCUGGAGAUCGGCUAUAGGAACAAGGGGAUCCAAUAUUUUUAAAAACUAAUCGCUGAUUCUAAAAGUACAUUAAAUUCUCUUUAUGUUAAUUUUUUUUUAAGUCGUAAAAUAAAAUGCCGCUUCAAAAAAAAU